GUGUACCUACUUCUUUCCUGCUUUGGGGGGAAGCGGUUCUCCGCGGCCGGCCCCCUGACCGGGGCUGGUUUUCCCCCGCCAGAGGAGCACAAAACUCCAGUCAGUGAACUUUGCUGUCUGAUUUAAAUUCAAUAAACUAAAAGUUUCAACAACGGAUCUCUUGGUUCUGGCAUCGAUGAAGAACGCAGCGAAAUGCGAUAAGUAAUGUGAAUUGCAGAAUUCAGUGAAUCAUCGAAUCUUUGAACGCACAUUGCGCCCUUUGGUAUUCCGAAGGGCAUGCCUGUUCGAGCGUCAUUACACCCCUCAAGCUCUGCUUGGUGUUGGGCGGCGUCCUCCCGGACGCGCCUCAAAGACCUCGGCGGUGGCGUCUUGCCUCAAGCGUAGUAGAAAACACCUCGCUUUGGAGGACGGGACGACCGCUCGCCGGACGAACCUUUGAAUUCAUUUUCCUAGGUUGACCUCGGAUCAGGUAGGGAUACCCGCUGAACUUAAGCAUAUCGAUAAGCGGA
rnacentral:rRNA from 1 species